rnacentral:rRNA from 1 species
GAUAAACGCUGGCGGCGUGCCUAACACAUGCAAGUCGAACGAUCCCGCAAGGGAGAGUGGCGGAAGGGUGAGUAACACGUGGGAAUCUACCUCCUCGCAGGGAACAACCUCUCGAAAGAGAGGCUAAUACCCAAAAGGGUCAGAAAUGAUCAGAGUCGAAAGGCGUGAGGAGAGGAGCCCGCGGCCCAUCAGCUAGUUGGUGAGGUAAUGGCUUACCAAGGCUACAACGGGUAGGGGAUCUGAGAGGAUGUCCCCCACACUGGAACUGAAACACGGUCCAGACGCCUACGGGUGGCAGCAGUGAGGAAUAUUGGACAAUGGGUGAAAGCCCGAUCCAGCAACGCCGCGUGGAGGAUGAAGGCCUUCGGGUCGUGAACUUCUUUAGAGGGAGACGAGAAAGGACGGUAUCCCUAGAAUAAGCGACGGCAAACUACGUGCCAGCAGCCGCGU